AUUGAACGCUUGCGGCAUGCUUUACACAUGCAAGUCGAACGGCAGCGCGGGCUUCGGCCUGGCGGCGAGUGGCGAACGGGUGAGUAAUGCAUCGGAACGUGCCCAGUAGUGGGGGAUAGCCCGGCGAAAGCCGGAUUAAUACCGCAUACGAACUGAGGGUGAAAGCGGGGGACCGAAAGGCCUCGCGCUAUUGGAGCGGCCGAGUUCGGAUUAGCUAGUUGGUGGGGUAAAGGCUUACCAAGGCGACGAUCCGUAGCUGGUCUGAGAGGACGACCAGCCACACUGGGACUGAGACACGGCCCAGACUCCGACGGGAGGCAGCAGUGGGGAAUUUUGGACAAGGGGGGCAACCCUGAUCCAGCCAUGCCGCGUGCGGGAAGAAGGCCUUCGGGUGGUAAACCGCUUUUGUUCGGGAAGAAAUCCUCUGGGCUAAUACCCCGGGGGGAUGACGGUACCGGAAGAAUAAGCACCGGCUAACUACGU
rnacentral:rRNA from 1 species